rnacentral:miRNA from 1 species
AUCAACGGAAAGCUUUUGGCUAGGGUUUGACUGAUGAGCAGCUGAGGGUUUUCAGGGCAAAGUGAUGGUACCGAUGACUUUCUUGCAAGUUAUGCAGUUGCUGCCUCAAGCUUGCUGCCUCCCUCUGCCAAAACUAGUGUGGACAAAAUAACCCAUGUCAAUGCAUUAUGGAGACAAGGAGAAGCAAUAUGAAAUGAAAUCUAAAGAUGAAGCUGCUCCCCACACAAAAGAACUAACCAUACAAUCACAGAAUCGUCUCCAAUGAGCAAACGCGUUUACCAUCAUAAGUUUUCAUUCAAGUGUUCUGAAAGCUGAAGAUAAGCUGUUUACAAACACCGUUGAGAUGAACUUGAAAGGUUUCAGGUGAAAAGCUGAGGCUGGAGAAAGAGCAAGAGUUCUUGUGAUCUAUGUGAAAUAUAUGUAUAUAUAUAAUUCUUGUCUGCUGUCUUGUUGUAAUUUAUAGUGAAAGUUCUGUUGUAAUCUAUUGUAAAGAAAAUCAAGUGUAGAUUGACUUUGAAUAUUCUUGCAAG